rnacentral:rRNA from 1 species
CCUACGGGUGGCAGCAGUGAGGAAUAUUGGUCAAUGGACGAGAGUCUGAACCAGCCAAGUAGCGUGAAGGAUGACUGCCCUAUGGGUUGUAAACUUCUUUUAUAUGGGAAUAAAAUGUUCCACGUGUGGGAUUUUGUAUGUACCAUAUGAAUAAGGAUCGGCUAACUCCGUGCCAGCAGCCGCGGUAAUACGGAGGAUCCGAGCGUUAUCCGGAUUUAUUGGGUUUAAAGGGAGCGUAGGUGGAUUGUUAAGUCAGUUGUGAAAGUUUGCGGCUCAACCGUAAAAUUGCAGUUGAUACUGGCAGUCUUGAGUACAGUAGAGGUGGGCGGAAUUCGUGGUGUAGCGGUGAAAUGCUUAGAUAUCACGAAGAACUCCGAUUGCGAAGGCAGUUCACUGGACUGCAACUGACACUGAGGCGCGAAAGUGUGGGUAUCAAACAGGAUUAGAUACCCUUGUAGUC